rnacentral:rRNA from 1 species
UACGUAGGGGGCAAGCGUUGUCCGGAAUCAUUGGGCGUAAAGCGCGUGUAGGCGGUUCAGUAAGUCUGCUGUGAAAGUCCAGGGCUCAACCCUGGGAUGCCGGUGGAUACUGCUGGGCUAGAGUACGGAAGAGGCGAGUGGAAUUCCUGGUGUAGCGGUGAAAUGCGCAGAUAUCAGGAAGAACACCAAUGGCGAAAGCAGCUCUCUGGGACGGUACUGACGCUGAGACGCGAAAGCGUGGGGAGCGAACAGG